GAGUCUACAUAUGGGAAGGUGCUCGAACCCUCUCUCAUUUUCUUCCGUUGCUUUUCCCUUUCGCCUGCUCUCUGUUUCUCUCUGCUUUUCUCCCUGUUCAAUCUUCGUGUUUCCUUGCUUAACUCUCUUCCAUUUUCUUCCGUCGCUUUUCCCUUUCUCUUCCUCUCUGUUUCCGUGCUUUUCUACCUGCGUCAAUCCUUCGUGUUUCCCUGUUUCUCUCUCUGCGUCGAUCGUGUGUCGUAUGAAGAGUUUCUUUUCCGGGUGAUUGCACUGUUUCAGGAAAAUUGGUGUGCGAAUUUUAGGGUUUUUGUGUACAACCUUGCAAACCCCUUCUGAUUAAGUAGGUGGAUCGGAUUUGAAGUAUUUUUUAGGGUGGGUAAAAAGGUUGAGCGGAGUUGGGAAAAUUCCUAAGUGGUUAAAGAAGAGUAGAAGAAACGUUCUGUUUAUUCCUCCAGAAAAGAUUAAGAAAGUUGGUGGUCACAAAUCAACUGACUCAACUUUAUAUCAACAUUGGAGCAUGCCUUACAAGUUUAUGCAGCUAUGCAGAGGGAUACGUAGUGGAACUUGGAUUUCAAAGAUCACAGUGAACAGGGUGAUAGGUGUAUUUCCUCCUUUUUUACCAUUUUAGAACUUAUAUUAGUGAUAAAUUAAUUCGAAUAAUGUGGCAUGAACUUAGAGCUCUGUUUGGGAAAGUGGGCUCUUUACCCCAAAGAUGCUUGCUUUUGGUAAUAUUUGGAAUUGUGCUUCUAAGCUGUUUUUCAAGCUUUUGGCCAUACUAAAUGGAGCUAAGUCGAACAGCUCUUCAGUUGCAUUGUAGUUGCUUUCCUAAAUUGAUUGUUCAUUUGUUGAAAAAAAUUUAAGGGCGAAAAUUAUGUUUCAAAUUGGAUUUAGAUAUGAGUAUUACACAUUCAACGUGUUGAAUUCAUCUUUGUUUUGGUGUUUGUGGUUUUGAAUGUCAUUUAGUGCAGUAUAGCUUUAACUUAAAUGUGGUUCUAUAUAUCUCAAGUACUCAUUUGGAUUUUGAGCAGUAGGAGAGAGUUUAGCACGUAUUUGAGGAAAUGCGAAGAACUUUUUUUGAAAUGGUGGUUUGGAGACGUUUGAAAUCAUAAGAAGACUCGAAGAUUUCAGCCAGAUAAAUCUUUAUGAACAGUCUCCUGCUUCUAUCAAUACCCAUGCCUAUUUUUUCACACAUUUAGUCUUCAGUAGAUGGGCUAAGCAAUUUCCACGUGGCAUUGUAUCAAAUUAUCAUUGAUCGUAGGUUUUCGUGGUGAGAUGGAAUAAAUUGGUGAAACGUAGAGUGAUUUAUUUGCAGAAAGGUUUGACCUUUGAAUUGGAGCUAUAGUGUUCGUUCCUAUUGCUACAUUGGCAGUUGUCUUCAUCUGAAACGAGUCAAUCAACUGUAUACCAUCACCGUCAAACAUUGAGAACUUCAGCAUGUACUACAAAUCUCGAUCAAAGCUAGAUUAACCUCUCAUAUGGUUUUUGCCAAUUGUCAUUUUUGAAGGCUAUGAUAGUUUAUGCCAUCAUCCAGUGUUACUAUUUGGAGAAGAUUGCUGAUCAAAAUAAUAGAAGCAUGUACAUCAUCACAAAUAAAACAAAAAAAUUGGGAAGCGACAGUCAAUAUAACUUUCAGGUACAAAUUAUUAUGUGUAUAAAUACAAUUGUAAAUAUUACACCUAAUAUGAAUGCACAUAUAUUUUAUAUAUUUUUUAAACACGCGGCAACGCGCGGGCACUAUUACUAGUAUAUACUAAAACCCAAACUUCUGGUUACUGUUUUAGAGCAGUGUACGGACCAAAAUACCCCUCAAUUCGUUUGUUAAGCCAAUUUUUUGCCAUCUUUGCUACAGUAAAAUGGCUUCCUUGCCCUCGGAGGCCACGCAUUUAUCCCCUCCGUCUUCUGGAUUUGUCCGCAUUGUGCAAAAAGGUGCUUCGGUGUUUUCUCCACUUUUCCUUCCGUUUUCACUUUCCAUCGGUCUCAAAUCUCGACUUCUCUCUGCGUCUCUCACUCAUCUCUCGACUUCUCUCUGCGUCUCUCACUCAUCUCUCAGCUCUCUCUCUCAAUCUUGAGGUACCCUGCCACUGGAUAUCGUUUGCCGUUGCCGAUCUGCAAGGUGGAUUGGUUAUCUCUAGGUCCAUCGUCGUUUCUUAGUCACUGUGCUCUUUGUUUUUUGGGACUUCUGUGUACAAGCUUGGAAGCCAAUUAUAUUCAAGGUAAAUAAUCUCGGUUUUUUACACAUUUUCUGCAACGAAUUGUAUUUUUUAAUAUUGUGAAAGUUAUGUUUUCUAUAGUGUGAAAGUCCAAUCUGUGGGAUUUAUUUAUUUUUUAAUUUUGGUGUCGUUGCUGUGUUGUUUUAUGGUUUUGGAUGGUGUUGGAUGACUUGGUGUUUCCAUUUAUGUGUUGCAAAAGAUUUUAUCUUUGCUGCUGAGCCAUAUGAGUGGUACAUUGACUUGCUGCGCUUCAGGGCUGUCAAACAUUGUGGUUUUGGUUUAGGAUUUGAACAGAUGGUUCUGUUUGCUACUGCUAUUGACAACAUUAGAGAUGUUAUUCCUUUCCCUAGAUAUCCAGGAAGAGCAAAUCGUUGAAUUAUUGAAAGGGAUAUAUUUGAAUUAGUUGUUAUAGGUUUGUGUCCUUUACCUUUAUCUACAUUAACAACAAUAUUGCCCAUUUCUAUUUCGUAUAGCAGAGCUUGAUACCAGGUUUGGGUCAGUCUCAAUUCCCAGUAGAUAUUACUUUGUUUUAAUUUAUUCAUCUUUUUUUCAAAUUUUUGUGCAAAUAUUUUUGAAACCCAAAUAAUUCAAAGUUCAAAUUUAUGUGUAAAUUGAUAGAUGUGGGUGUGCACCCAAUAUGACUUUUACAUGGUGUUGCUAUCUGGUUUUUCACAUAAUUAUAUUGGGAACUGUUGAAAUUUAGGUUUAGCUGCAGAUAAAACAAAAUCAAAACAUUACAAAGUAGAGGUAUAAUUUAAUUUUUAUAUUAACAUUGGAUUAAAUGAAUAUAGUAAGAACAUUGACUUGACGUAUGUGCCUUUGUUUCAUAUUUAGAAUGGAUGUUUUCCUGAAAUUUGCUAUUAAUUGGUUUUGAUUUUCCUCACCGAGCAUUUGAAGGGUGUAAUCUACUUAAAGUAAAUAACCCAAACAGUUGAAAAUGCACUCACCUAUUUUAUUGAUAACUAUACAGAGAUUUGAAUCAUUCAAUUUGUGUUAAAAUAUUGUAUUUUUUUAACUUCAAUGCUUUCUUCGUUAAUUUAUAUCAGCUUUUUAGCUUAUUAGUUGCUUAUAUAAUUAUUCCUGUGUUUUUUGUAAAUUUACGAAGAAAGAUUGCAAAAGAUCACUUAAUGCUUUGGAAAAUUGCUUGGUGAUUCUAUUUGGUAAGCUUUGAAAAGCCUCAUCUUUUUAUUCUUCGCUAUUUUGCCCUUAAUUUGUAUUUGUCUCCUUAUGCUUGGCUUGGACUUUGCUUCACUUUUUUUUAUCGGUUGCAUUUGUUUUUGCUACAGUGCAGCACAGUUUUGUCAAGCCCACGUGUUGGUCAUUGCGUGGUGCUUUGUUUGUGUCUUAUUUUCUUCCAUUUUGUUUCCUCUCAGUUCCAACUUUGCUUCGCUGUUGCUCUCACCCGUUUUGUUUCCUCUCAUUUCCAUCUUUGGCUUGCGAUCGGUCUCAAAGCUUAAAUCCUUUUUGCCUCACAAUUUUUUGCUUCGGGUCGUCGUAGAUUUUUGUGCUGUUGCUUUCAGUCGGUGUUUUGUGCAGUUCUGCAGCUUGCGGUUGCUGGGAAAAUAAGAAAUCAGUGUUUUUAUAAAAAUUCACCUUCAAAGAUUGAGGAAAAAUAUAUAAAGGUUGUUGGUGAUCGGUAUAAAGACAAAAUAAAAAAGGUUUGGUGGUUCUACUUUGGGUUGAGAAAGGAAAAAAAAAAAAAAAAAAAAAAAAAGAAGACAAUUUUGUUGGCAAUCAAUAUAAAGACAUAACACAAAAGGUUCUCACAAAAUUGUGCAACGUAGAAUUUUAAAGCAUUUGGUUUUGUGGUGCAAGGCUUUUGGUGUUUAAGGCAAGUGCUUUAAAUUCUGGAACUGUUUCUUUUAAAGCAUAAAUAUAUAAUUUUAUUUUUCUUUUUACAAGCAUUGUUAUGUUUGUUAUUUUAUUUAUCCUUCAUUCCAUUAAAAUUCCAAUAUUUUAGUGUU